CUCUAUUGUUGGUUUUUCUGAGAUUUUGAGAUCAUGAUACACGUACACAUCUCGGGGCCUAAACAAGACAUAGUGCCCCGAUGAUGUCAAUUGAGCCAUAGAUAGCAAAAUUUUCUCAAUUCUUGGGACAUGAUAAAUAUCUUGAAGUAGCAACAGCUUAGAAUUAUAUCGAGAUGUAACUAUUGUCUUACCGAUGUGUGCUAUUAGGAACCUUGAGUUGUCAGCUGUCACCAACACACGACUUCUCUUGUAUUUGGAGAGGGUUUGCAACUUCUGUUUAUCACUCGUCAUAUGAUUUGAAAACUCGAGUCUACAAUCCAAUCAUUCUUGUAGUCAUUUUGUUUUGAUCUUAUUACAGUGAGAGCUAAUUCCUCUUCCUCUAUAGUGAAUGCCGCUUCGGCAUCCCAACCAUCUUCAUUAUUCUCCUUAGGAUUGGAAGUAGCAAUAUUACUCUUAGUAGGCUUUUUCUUAGACCAACAAUCUUUUGCCAUGUGACCCAUCUUCUCACAAUUUUAACACUUGCCAUCAAACUUUUUAUUAUUACCGCAAUUCCUCAAAGCUCCCCUUAAGUGACAGCCUCUUUUUCCUUGAGGACUUUUCACCUUAUCACCAUCCUUUUUAGAUCCACUAUCAGUGUGCUGCUUGAAGCUGCCUUUGCUUUUAUUGGUGUAAAGCACUUCCUUUUCACUCUUCAGUAAGACUCCUCCUAUUUGCUUUAGCCAGAGCUUCUUGACCUACAAAUAAUUUUUCAAACUCAAUAAGUGAUGGUUUUGUCGGCCAUCCUUGUAUAGUGAUAAGAAACCCUCAGUAUUCGGGUCUUAAACUAUGGAUAAUCAUUCUCUUUUUCCUCAUAUCCCUAAGAGCAGUUUGUUGGAUCUAACUCUGAAAUUUCACGGCGUAACGACUUCACCUUGUGAAAGUAUUGAGUAAUUGUCAUGUCACAUUGCGGUAUCGAUAGCAGCUCGUUAUCCAAAAGUUCUAGCCUUGUAUCAUUCUAAUUUGAAAAAAGUGUAACAAGAGUGUCCCAUACUUCCUUUGGUGUUUUGGCAUCCUGAAAGUGCUCCAGCAUUCCUUCUUCAAUUGUCGUCUUUAAAGCAAACAUUGCUUUGCCAGCUUUAAUCUUCCACUUUCACAAAAUGCCAUUGGCAUCUUCCACCGUUGGUUUUGUAGCUUCACUACCAUCAACAGCUUCCUAAAGGUCUUGACCUUGUAGGUAGGACUUUGUACACGUUGACCAUGUGUUAUAAUUUUGGUUGUUGAGCUUCUUGAUGCCUCCAACUACUUAAAGAUCACCCAUAAUGUCGACAGAACUUCAGUUAUACUGAAUAAGCUUAAUUAACAAACAUUUAAAGUAUUAUACUUCUCACAAUUCAAGAUAGCUCUCCUAAGAAUGAUUUUGGACCGUCUUGCUCUGAUACCAAAUGUUGAAUAAAUAGAGUAAAGAAAAAAACUCUAAUUAUCCAAAGGAAUUAAGAACACACUCUAAAGAAAAUUCAUGAAAUACUCUUAAAAUAAACCAAGACACAAUGGCUAAUUGUAUUAUUUGUU
rnacentral:lncRNA from 1 species